rnacentral:rRNA from 1 species
CCCUUAGAUGUUCUGGGCUGCACGCGCGCUACACUGACACACGCAACGAGUCUCCUGCCCUGACAGGGUCGGGUAGUCAUUUGAGUGUGUGUCGUGAUGGGGAUAGAGUAUUGCAAUUAUUGCUCUUGAACGAGGAAUUCCUAGUAAGCACAAGUCAGCAGCUUGUGCUGAUUACGUCCCUGCCCUUUGUACACACCGCCCGUCGCUCCUACCGAGGGGGUGAUCCGGUGAAUGAUUCGGACUCUGGUGCUUCUAGCUGCUAGAUGCGCCGGAGGAAGUUUUGUGAACCUUAUCACUUGGAGGAAGGAGAAGUCGUAACA